UCCGUGACCAAGCCGUCAGGUUACCAGGCGCCACCUCCCUCCUGAGUUUUAUCUCCGACGCGGCUGUGUUUCUCGACCCCUCCCUUCAGAGGGACUGGGGCGUGGACCCGCUCUGAUCCUCUGCAGGAGGGUCUCCCCUAGCAAAGGCCAGUGCCACCGCACCCAGGAAUGUUCACGUGACCACUGCUGCUGCUGACGCCCAGAGACCACGGCUGAGUUCCAGCCUGCCCCAGGAAAGUUCACGCGAUCGAUCGUGUAGCAGGGGUAUUUCAGGGAUCAUGGAAAAUCCCAACAUGCAUCUGGCCGCAGUCUUUGCCCUUAACGACCUUGUUCCACCACCAGCAAAUGUGGUUGUUCUUUGUGGUCUGCUGGGACCGGGUGGCCACACAGCCUCGACCAGAUGUCCUCCCAGCAGGGGAACCGCCUCUUCUCGUGUGGCCCGAGGAUAACUGGCCUUCACUGUCUCCUGGGGAUCUGCCCUUCCCACCGGAACACCGCCAGGUAAUGAGCUGCGGAGUUUCAGACUCUGCCCUCCCCUGUUUCUAGAGUCUUAAUGGAAUUUCAACCCUCUCCUUUCUCCUUUCUCCCUUUUAGCUCAGUCCCUGUGGCUGUUUCCACUUUUCCACUUUGUCUCCAGCUGCUUUGGGUGGGGUGCUUUUCCUGAACUCUACCCCUCCCCCCUCCCGCCCCCCCUCACCCGCCCUGUCUCCAUCCUCUCUCCACAAGCAAAAGCAACUCCUUGCCCUCCGGGGCUUCUCUCUCCCCCAGUUCACCUCUCCGCGCUGAGUGCCUGCUGAGUUCUGUGGUUCAGGUUGUGCAGGUUGUCGUGUUAAUCCUCAAAUCAGUGUUUUAGGUGUGCAGGAUGGCUUAGUGUUGGUCUGGUUGUAUUUCAUGGAUGCGAGACGCAAUAAAAACUUCCAUCCUGUUCCACCAUCUUGGCUCUUCUACACUAGUUGUGUUUUAAGCGUUUUAUUAUGUAUUAUUUUAAGCAUAAAUAGACAUUGGCAGGAUAGAAUAAGUCAGGGGUCCACAAACGCUUUCUGUUAAGGGGCAGAGAGAAUAUAUUUCAGUCUUCACCAGCCAGAUUGUCUCUGUUGCAGCAACUCAACUCAACCACAAUCAGCCGAGAAAAUGUGCAAACAAAUGGGCAUGGCUGUUUUCCAAUAAAACUUAAUUUACAGAAGCAGGCUGUGGGCUAGAUUUGGCCCUUGGGCCAGAGUUUGCUGACUUGUGAUAUAAAUGAAGACCCACCAGCAGCCCCAACAGCCAUCAACCCACAGCCAGUUCUGUCUGAUUAACUGCCCCCACACAUUACUUGGAAGAAAAUCCCAGACAUCAAAUCAUUUCAUCCUCAGUACUUCCAAAGACACUUCUAGAAGAUAAGGACUCACCUGUUAACAUUGUACCUAAAAGGUCAAAAGUAACAUCACAGUAUUCUCAGAAUUCAGUCAGCAUUCAAAUUUCUAUUUGUCUAAUAAAUGGAAUACAUCUUCACAGACGUUUUCUGAUCCGAUAGAAUUAACUAAGAUCCACACAAUGCAUUUAAGUUUCUUUUAUGUUUUUUUACAUUGAUUCUAUUUGUAUGUCUUUUAGCCCCAAGUUGGAUUUUCCGGGGGAAAAAACAAAAGUAAGUCUAACAUGUAAUGCAAGUCACCCUGUGCCCCCUCUAAAAUAAUUUUUAUUGCGAUCUGAGGAAAUGCCACCACGUGGACAGUAAUGCCAAAACUGUAGAAUCAAGAUUUGAACAGCCAGUCAUCUGGUCGUGAUCAAUUCAACAAAUCAAGUAUCCUUGCACAAAGUUGUCAAUCACUUCCUUCCAAGGUUUCGGGCAUUUGAAAAGGAAAAAUUCAUCACCUGGCCCAGUUGCCUCAUUCCUAGGAAUUGAUCCUGAUGAAAUGUUCAGAGAUACAGUCAGAGAUGCUUGACGAAGGGUCUCAUGGCUGCAUUAUUUGUAACAGUGCAAUAGUAACAACCACCAAAACGUCCAGCAAUAAGGAAAUGAUAGCAUUCAUUACAAUGCUGGCUCGUUAACUGGUUCGUUAAAUACAACACUGGUCAAAUAUUAUAUAAUGAUUAACACUCACAGCUUUUAAUGUUCCAGUUGUGGGUCAAGGUUCUGGACAAAAUUUUAAAUGACAGGAAGCAAAACCCAAAACUGCGUAUACCUAAAAUCACAUCAUUAUCUCGAUGGAAAGCCACAAAACGUUGCAUCACUACCUCUAAAAAUGGGGUUGUGUGGCUUCAACUUAAAUAUUUACUCUUUGGGGGGCACCUUGUGGCUCAGUUGGUUAAACAUCCAACUCUUGUUUUUGGCUCAGGUCAUGAUCUCUCAGUUCAUGAGUUUGAGCCCCACACUGGCCUUGCUGCUGUCAGUGCGGAGCCCUCUUUGGAUCCUCAGUCCGCCGCCCCUCCCGCACUCAGGCUCCCUCAAAAAUAAACAAUUUUUAAAAAUUAAAUAUAUUUACGCUUUUGUGAAAUUUCCAAAUUUUCUUUAACGUGCAUGCUUUACUUUUAAAUCAGAACAACAAAAAUACCAUUCGUUUUAUAAAAAUUUCCAGGUCUCCCCUUGCAGGCCUCCUCUCAUAUGUCUGUCUGUUCUUGGCUUUUCUAGCUCUUCCCCUCUCUCUUCUGACUCUGUCUUGUCAAUUUAACAGGCAUUCCAUCAGCCCAGUCAUUUUGCUCAGGACCCAAAAGACUGCCAUUCCCAGCCCUGCAGGACAGCAGCACUGGGCCUUCAUAAACCCAAAUGGAAUGGGAGGUAAGAACAAUGACUCAACAUUUCAUCCCAUCUGCAGAUAUGGGCGGACGCUGGGCCCCCAUUUCGUGCCAUCUGCUGUCCUUCCUUGGAGCAUAACACUCCGUAAGUGAAAACUACAACACGGGCUUGCUGGUGAUCAUGUGGGAAAACCAGAAACAAUGGGGAAGUCCAGAAGUGGGUGGGGGCUACAUAAAAUGGCAGCCAGUAAGAAGCCAGCCGUCAGGAACCCUGUUGUGGAACAUGCUGAACAGCAAGGAAGGGACCUCACUUAUGGUGGUGGCUUCAUGACCUUCUGCGUUCAUCCCCUGUAUCUGUCCCCAUCUCGUCCUUCGUUCCUUCAUUCUCUCUACUCGCCCUGGUGGGCUUGCUCACAGUUCCUAGGACAAGCCAGGUGCACUGUGGACUCUGAGUUUUGUGCUGGCUGUUCCUUCCGUGUGGACUGCUCUUCACCCUCACCUUCUCCAGAGCUUUUCUCAGAAAUCACAUUGCUCAAGAGACGUUCCAUCCAAGAUGUCAACUUAUCCCCAAUACACCCUCCCACACACAUACCUUCCUCACAUCCCUCUUCCUGACUUUAUGUUUUCUUUCUAAUGAUCAUUAUUUAACAGGUAACAUGCAUUAGUUAUUUGUUUGUCACCCACCUUCCCCCACCCCACUUAGAAAGCGAGAUGCUUGAGGACAAGGAUUUUUGCCAUUUCUGUAUACCCCGUGCCCAGGACAGAACCAGGAAUUCUCAAGGGUGAAGUAAUGGGUGAAUGAGUGACUUCACUUUCUCUCAUUAUCUAUCUGUAUUUCUUUCUUUUUUUAAUUUUUAAAUAGAUUUUUAAAAAAUUUUUAAUAUAAUUUAUUGUCAAGUUGGCUAACAUGCAGUAUACACAGUGUGCUCUUGGUUUCUGGGUAGAUUCUGGUGAUUCAUCGCUUCCAUACAACACCCAGUGCUUAUCCCAACAAGUGCCCUCCUCAAUGCCCAUCCCCCAUUUUCCCCUCUCCCCCGCCCUCACUCCCAUCCACCCUCAGUUCUCUGUAUUUAAGAGUCUCAAAAAAUUAAAAAUUUAAAAAUAAAAACUAAAGGAGAGAAAAAAAGUCUCUUAUGGGUUUGCCUCCCUCUCCAUUUGAAACUAUUUUUUCCCCUUCCCGUCCCCCAUGGUCUUUUGUAAAUCUCCUACGAUGAACAAACUGCUCUCAUAGCCAAGUGCCUGGUGACUUGUUUCUCAAGAUGCUGUGGUAGGACAGUCAUAGGCAGUUAUUCUGGCCAGGCAGUCCCAGGAUCAUUCUUAGAGAAGAUUCCCUGAACUCCUAGGUGGACAGGUUUCAGGUUCAGGGGUACCCUCUAUCCUGUAGGGAGGAGUAAUGAGACCCCUGUGGCCAGGCAAGUGCUGCCCCUUCUAAUCCCCUCAACCCUGAAGCUGGGGAGAUUGUGGGCAAAAUUCUCAAGGGGACCAUGGGUGUUUGGGGAAGAGAAGGAUGAACAGUGACCACCUCCUGUAAUGAUGAGGAUGAAUCCUACCAGAAUCUCCAGAGUGCACUCAGAUUGUGAAACAGAUACCACAAGCAGCAAACGGGAUGCUCACCCUAAGGGCCUCUGAACCAGGGCCUCAACACCGCCCCCUGGAGGUAGGCGGUGAAAGACCGGUGUGAGCCCAACCCUGGAAGUGAUCCCUGAGCUGAGGAAAGACUGGAGGGGUGAGGCGGUGGGAGCCCAUGCUCCAGGUCCAGCGGGACCCCCAGCAGUGACCAAAAAUGCACCAAGCUGGGUGGGCUAGCUCCCAAAUCACUAAUUCUCCCUUUACCUGUAUUUGGAAACCCACAUAGCCCCUUUUGAGCCAAGGAUCCUCCCCCUGGAGUUCAUGAAGAAUCUGGCGAAAGGUUGCAGGUCUCAAGAGGGAAGAUCCUGGACCUGUUGUUAAUCUGAGUAUAAGGAGUGGUUAAUUUAAAAAAAUCAAUUUUGGGGGCACCUGGGUGGCUCAGUCAGUUAAGUGUCCGACUUCGGGUCAGGUCAUGAUCUCAGAGUUUGUGGGUUGGAGCCCCAGGUCCAGCUCUGCACUGACAGCACAGAGCCUGCUUGGGAUUCUCUUUCUCCUUCUCCCUCUGCCCCUCCCCCUGCUCUCUCUCUCUCUCUCCAUAAAUAAUCUUUAAAAAUAAAGAAAUAAAAUAAUACAUUUUAAUUACAAUUAAAUUGAAAAUUAAUACAUUUUUUAAUGUUUAUUUUUUACAGAGAGAGAGAGACAGAGACAGAGCAUGAGCGGGGGAGGGGCAGAGAGAGAGAGGGAGACAGAAUCUGAAGCAGGCUCCAGGCUCUAAGCUGGCAGCACAGAGCCCGAUGUGGGGCUCGAACUCACAGACCGCGAGAUCACGACCCCAGCCGAAGUCAGACGCUCAACUGACUGAGCCACCCAGGCGCCCCAAACUUAAUACAUUUUAAAAAGUGUAAUUAAGUAACAAUUUUAAUUGACAAUUAAAAGAGGGGUUAUACCUUGCUCUCACCUGGGGAAGUAACUUGUUCUGUUCAUACCUUUUAAAUAAAUUAAUUAAUGACAUAUCUAGGAGGCAAAUAAAUAAUAUAUAAAUAUCAUAUAGAGUAGAUAAAUAAAUGAGUAGGUGAGAAGACAAAGAAGCAGACAAAGGAAAUAAGUAGAUUGUUUUAAGAGAGAGAGAAAGCGAGAAACACGCCCUGUAGUCUCAGCAACGUCACAGGCAGGCUCUUGAUUAAUUCGCGUUCAGCUUUCCAGAAGACUGUGCUUGAGUUCACAUCAUGAAGGAAUGGGUUUGUGUCCGUCCUGUGGUGAGGAGACAGAGGUCUCUUUCAGAGUCUCAGCAUCUACAUCAGCAUCCUUAACCAUCCUCCUUCCAAGGAGAUUUAUUAUCCUCCUAGUUAUUCUAUUAGUCACUCUGCUAUUAGGAGAGCAGGAACUGUUGCAUUUUUAUGUUGCCUGAUCAUAUCUUCCAGUUGGAAAACAUGGUUAAAGAACAACAGCCCAAGAGCCGGGAACCCCACCACCGGGUGGUUCUCUUUCCUGCGGUGCUCACAGGAGGCCAGCAUUUCUGAAUGUGGCUAUGUUGAAUGCCUUAAAGAUAACUUGGGGUAUCAUUUUCUGCAAGGAUUUUAAUUGUAGUCCCAAAGCUGGUAGAUGGAAGCAUUGAGCAUAUGUUUGUGGCCUAUUUAAUGAAGCCAGCACAGGGCUAUGUGUAAAUGCUUAUGCCAAAACAGAGUUGAAAUGGGGCACUUUGGAAGAAAAUGGUGCAAAGGGAAAGGGUAUAUUAGUCAUGGUUCUCUAGAGAAACAGAACCAAGAGACGGUGAUUGAUACAUACAUACAUACAUACAUACAUACAUACAUACAUACAGUGAUGAUAGAUAGACAGGAUGGUAGGUGGAUGGAUGGAUGGAUGGAUACAGAUAAAUAGGUCUGUUAGAAGGAAUGGUCUCAUGUGGUUAGAGAGGCUAACAAGUCUACCUUUGGCGGGCUGGAAAACCAGGAGAGCUGAAGGUAUAAGAUCCGGUCCAAAAACUACCAGGCUCAGGACCCAAGAAGAGCCAGUGUUUCAGUGCAAUGGUCAGAGCAGGAAACAACCAAUAUUCCAGCUUAAAGGCAGUCCGGCGGGAGGAGUUGCUUUUUACUCAGGGGUGAGUCAGACCUGUUGCUCUAUUCAGGCCUCCAACUGUUUGGAUGAGGCCCAUCCACAUUAGGGAGGGCACCAUGCUCUACUGUCUACUGAUUUAAAUGUUAAUGUUUAAUGUUACUGAUUUAAAUGUAAUGGUUUAAAUGUUAAUCUCAUUAAAAAAAAAUACCCUCAGAGGGGCGCCUGGGUGGCUCGGUUGGUUAAGUGUCAACUUUGGCUCAGAUCAGGAUCUCACAGUUUGGGAGUUCGAGCCCGGCAUCGGGCUCUGUGUUGCCAGCUCAGAGCCUGGAGCCUGCUUCAGAUUCUGCGUCUCACUCUCUCUCUGCCCCUCCGUAUCUGUCUCUGUAUCUGUCUCUGUCUCUCUCUCUCUUUGUCUCUCUCUCAAAAAUAAAUAAACAUUAAAUAAUAAAUUAAAAAAAAAACAAAAAACACCCUCAGAGACACACCGAGAAUGAUGUUUGACCAGUCAUCUGGGAAGUGUAUGGCCCUGUCAUGUUGACACAUAAAAUGAACUAUCAAAGGGCAUUUAGUGGAGUUACACUGGUUUUCCACAGUGGAAUGGGGGGUGACACCCAUUAUCUGAAUUCAUGGGGGAAAAUGUUCAGUUUAGUACCCAACUGGGAAAUUACUCUUCCCAUCAAUUGGAUAAAUGUUAAUUAGCUAUAAAUGCAAGGCACAUAAAAAGAUGGUCAACAUCCUUAGUCAUCAUCCACUAGAAGGACUAAAAUUAAAGGGACUGACCACACUAAGAGCUGGUGAGGAUUCCAAGCAACUGGAUCUUGUGGCUAUGCAAAAUGGGAUAGUCACUCUGGAAAACAGCUUGGCAAUUCCUGUAAAUGUUCACUUACUUUAUGAUUCAACAAUUCCACUCCUAUUUCCACGAAAGUAAAUGAAACCAUAUGUCUGCAAAAAGUCUUGUAAAAGAACGUUAAUUGCAGCUUUGUUCAUAAGAGUUGAAAACUGGAAAUAGCCCACUUGUUCAUCGAUACAAGAAUGGAUAAACAAACCACAGGAUAUUCAUACAAUAGAACACUGCUGACUAAUAAAAGAGAAGGAAUUCUAAUCCAGGAAACAACAAAGACAGAUCUCACAGACAUAAGUAAGACUGAGCAAAAGAAGUUCAAGAAUAUAGUAAACUAAUCUGCAAAGAUAGAAAGCAGAAUGUCAGUUGCCUUUGAAGGGAAGGGAGAUUGACCAGAAAUGGGUACCAGGGAUCUUUGUGGGGUGAUGACAGUGCUCUAUAUCUUGAUAGGGGGUUGGAUGAUACAGCUGUAAACAUUUACCACACUCAUGAAAUUACCCUUAAAAAGUUGUGCAUUUUACUCUCUAGCCUUAUGAGAGUAAUUAAACAUUUUGCCAAUAAAAAUUUGCAGAAAAGCAAGUCCCAAAAUAGGCAUGAGACUAAGAGCUGUAGAGGUGAACAAAACAAAAACCUGUAAACUUUCGUGGGCAAAGACAGUAGGCACUUCGCAAAAUGAAUUGGACGGAAGCCAGGCCUCUGGAAACACAACGGGCAAAGUCCUUGUCAUUAAAAUCAGAACUCUGACAAACCAUUAAUUCAGAGACUAAGAAUGAAGGUCCAGAAACAAAGAAUCCCCUAGCACCACCCCAGUACAGAUCCGGAAGCCCAAGAACAGUGACAGAAGCACAAAUGAGAUCAGCAGAACAUGUUAGACCCAAGGAGAGCAAACUCCAACCCAACUAAAGUGAACUGUAUUCUCGUAGCUAUGUCGGACUGUUUGGUAAUCCCUCUGUACCUUCUUUCAUGAUUAGUGUAAAUAUUUGACUUGAACUAAUUCUACAGCAAACUAUCAAGUUCUCAUUCCGUCGGGUAGAUUCAUUCUUUCUCAGCUAAUUUUGAAGUUGUCUUCAUUAAGUCCUGAGUGAAACAGAAAUAAAAGCUAAUAAUCACUGAGGACUUGUUAGGUGCCAGACACUUUGCUAAGUACUCAACAUGCAUUAAUUCAUGGAAUCUUGCUCACCCAAGAAGUAGAUACUGACAAUAGAAUUCCUACUUUACACAUGAAGAAACCGAGGUUCAAUGGGUAAAAAGUUGCCUAAAGUUCCUGAGCUAGGAUGGGAGAGGCAAGAUUCAAACCCAGGCUGUUGGACCUCAGAGACUACUGAGAAUUUUGCUCUAUUGCCCCCUUCUAGGAAUUUUUCAAAGCGCAUGGAUGCUGCCCAACUGUUUUGGAAUCAGAGACUCUUAGAAUCCUGUACACUGCCUAUGAAUGUCUGAGAAACCUACAGAAAGAAGUUGUGGCCAGCCAGUGCCAAGAAAGCUGUCCAUACUACCCGAAGGUCCGUCCAUGCAUUCGUUGGUCCACAAAUAUUUAAGAGCCUACUGUGUGCUAGGCCUUGCUUGCCACUAGAAAAAGAACUGAGAGCCAAAAGCUAUUCUACUACCCUUGGCAACAUCCUUCUCCAAAAUGCUCUCCCAGGCAACCAAGCAGGAAACUGCACCCUGAUGGCCAUUCCCCCUUUGAGAAGUCUAGAACCUCAAAUGUAGAGUCAGCAUAGCAUCCACUGAAAAUGUGCAAAAUGGCAGCCACAGGCAAUCUGGUAUAAGGUAUCUCCUACCUGCUCAAGAAGCUGUCUCUGCUUUCUGAACAGUUUUAUCAGGCCCUAUGAUUAUUUUGUAAUGUAGAUAUUGAUCAUUAAUCAAUGUUGCCUAAGCAACACACUUAGAAUAAUACAUCAAGACCAGCCUCUUCAACAACAAAGCUCUGGGAAAUUGCUGGCAUAUUAGCAUUGACUGAUUGCUGAGACAUUGCUCUCCUGGGCUGAAGGGGGGUGCAGGAUGGGUGACAGCAGGAUGCACAAACAGGUACUACAGGCUGAGCAGAAUUGAUGAGAUGGCACAAGGAAAUGUAGAAUAAAUGCCCUAGGAAUGGCAGUGUCACCUACUGCAGCAGAAAAAGCAGGCUUGAGUGCUGGCUAUGCCGAUGCUGGCUGUGUGUAUUUCAUUGCCUUCUGCCGGCUCAGUUCUCUCAUCCAUAAAGUGGGGUGAAAUAAUUGCUGCAAUGCUGGACCCCUAACGUCAACCAUUAAGUGGAUAUGAAACUGUCAUGUAAACUGUUAAAGCACAAAAAUCGCGGUUGAGGUUUGGAGGUGCUCUUCUGUACCUGAAAUGUUGACCCAAUUAAAAACUAUGAGCUGGAUAUAUCAGAACACCAGCUUCAUUAAUGGUGGCUGGACCCAGCCCAUUUGCUUGUUUCCAAGGGUUCUGUCUCUUCUUGCCUUUGCUUAUGCAGAGCAGCUGGGAAACAGCAGGAGGGGUAACAAAAGGAAGGGAAGAAGAAAAACAUGCUUCCCCAGCAGGUGGAGACCAUACACAAGGAGGCACAGCUUCAGCGUUCUCAGUAGCCAGAUGAGCUACUCUCCUCCACCCACAGGGAGGAGCAUCUGAGCAAUGGCAAUAAAGAUGCAAGCUUCCUCCCCAGAAUGUUCUCUAAGGGGCUUAAAGCAAGGGUAGAAAUUCCAAUUUUUCUACCAACAGUCAGUGGAUUGACUGCUCCAAUAGACUUCCACAACUCGUUUUCCCUACUUUUGCCAUCUCCCACUUUAGAGGCUGGAGAACAUAACUCCCUGAUUUCCCAGAAGCCUUUGCAGCUAGAGAUGACCAUGUGACACAAGUGAGACCUAAGUGGAAAGGUAGUGAGUGAGUAGAUCUUCUGGGGGAGACAGUGUGUCAUUUCUUGGAUGAGGCCUCAAGAGACACCAGCUGUUUUGCUCACUCUCUUCCACAUCUACAACUCACCAUAAGACCAUGACCUGGAUAGCCACUGAUCCAGAGAGGACAUGAGACAUGUGGAACAGACUAGAACCAAGACUGUCUUCAUUUUUUUUUUCUUUAAGCCUGUCUUCUUAAACUAUCAAAAUUACAGCUACUCCUAUGUCCCAGACACUCUUUCAGCGGGCUGGAAGGGCACAUAAACCAUUUACAAACCAUAUCGCUUUAUGCCUGUAUUAGUCAGGUAGGGCUAUCAUAACAAGAUACCAGAGACUGGGUGGCUUGCUUAAAUAACAGAAAUCUAUUUUCUCACAGUUCUGGAGUCUGGGAAGUCUAAGACCGAGGUGCCAUCACAUUCAGUUUCUGUGAGGGCUUUCUUCCUGGCUUGUAGACAGCUGCCUUUUCACUGUGGCCUCACAUCAUGGGGAGAGAGAGAACGCUGGUGUCUCUUUUUCUUCUUGUAAGGGCACCAGUGCUAGAGAUCCUCAUGAUCUCAUCAAACUUUUAUCCUCUUUAUAGGCUCUGCCUCCGAAUAUGGUCACAAUGGGCAUUAGGAUCUCAACAUCUGAAUUUGGAGGGGACACAAUUCAAUCAAUAGCAAUGCCCAAGAUAUCAGACUUCAACACCCAAGGAACCCCACCCCUCCCCUCAGGAAACAUCAGCAUCUGGUGUCUGAUUCUAAUUCAAGCCACAAUCAUUUUGCUGUUCAUGGUCAUCAAUGAUGUGCCAGAAGUUGUAACAUUCAUUCAUUCAAAGUUCAAAGGUUUAGGGAAGAUCAAGAUCUCUGGGGCUAGGGUGAAGGAAGAAGGGAAAUGUAGUAGAAGAAGAGGGUGGAGAGGAGAGAGGAGACAGACCACGUAGGCCUAGCUGAGCAGCCGAAGAACUUCAUUCUGGGGAUUGAAAAUAUUAGGCCAUAGUCCUUGGACAUUUGCAUUUAAAAAGGAGGAGAGGGAAAGCUAUGUUUAUUGUAUACCUAUUGUCCUUACCGGUUCAGGCUGAAAUAACCAAAAUCCCACCCAUCUGCUGCGUGGCUUAAGCAAAACACUUAUUUUUCACAGUUAGGAGGCUGGGAAGCCCAUGAUGGAGGCUCAGGCAGAUUAGGUGUUUGGUGGGGCCCCACCUUCCGGUUCAUACACAGCCAUCUUCUUGCUGUGUCCUUACAUGAUGGGAAAGGGCAAGAAAGCUCUCCAGGGUCUCUUUUAUAUGGACACUAAUCCCACUUAUGAGGGUACCAUUCUCAUGACCUAAUCACAAAGGCCUGCCUCCAAAUACCAUCACAUCGGGGGUUAGGAUUUCAACAUAUGGGCUCUUGGGGGGGGGGGGGCACAAACAUUCCAUCUAUCGCGCUUAUUAUAUGUCAGGAUCUAUAUAUUAGAUACUUUCCAUAUCUUGAUCUUUACAUUUAAAUAUACAUAAUGUUUACUGAGUGACAAACACAAUCACAAUUCUAGAAAUCAAGGCCCAUUUUAUAUUCCAAAUCAACAGUAAGGUGUGAGGGGAAGAGGUGUGUAUUCAAACCUCUCUGACCUUUCCUUGGCUCAAAUUGGAAUAAAUGCAUGAUUUCACAUGGGGAAUGUGGAGGUCAUAUCAACAGCCCAUUAAAUUCAAUCAGAUACACAAUAACCUGUUUUCUAUUCCAGCUAGUAGGUUAAAUAUCCAACUUUUUAAUUUCCAAAUGGUCUCAUGCAAUCAUCGCAAUUACCAUCCUAUUCAACCAUAAAGGUAAUUUAAGCUGUGGGUUUCAUCUCCAUCAAACAACUUGUUUGUAAUAUGCAAUUCUGGCUUGGAUUCCAAGAAUAAAUAUUAUCCUCCAAACAAAUGCAGGUUGACGGUAAUUCACUAAUUCACAAAUAAUAGUUUGCAAAAGAAAUAAACUUUGUGCAGAUGAUACGAUUGAAUAACAAGGAAAAUUAAGAGAACUGGCUGAAGAAAUACAGGAAUGAAUACAAUAAUUCAGUAAGAUGGCUGGAGACAAGAUAAAUAUACAGAAAUCAAUAGCUCUCCCACAAAUCAAUAAUGUAAAAAGAUCCCCACAUUAUAUGGUGUGUGUGUGUGUGUGUGUGUGUGUGUGUGUGUGUGUGUAUAUAUAUAUAUGUAAUUUAUUUAUAAAUGCCAAAAACUAGGAUACGUGUUUUAUAGAUAUCACUUACCCAAAAUAAUUUUCUCAGACGUUGUAACAGAUUUUUUCUCUGUGAUGUACAGAUGUGGAAACUAAACCAUAGAGGAGUAAUUUUCCCAUGAUGAGAAAGCAGCAUGAGAUCUUCAAAAGGUAAAAUCUGAUUGUGCAACUGCUCUGUUGAAAACCCUCCACUGACUUUUGUUCUUAAAAUGGAAGCAUAUCCUUGCAAAGCUUUGCCUGAAGGUCACUGCUACCUCUCUAGGCUUAUUUCAAGCUACUUUUCCUUCAAACUCUAUGAAUUGGAGAUUAACCCAGACUAUCCUGACCCAUCAAAGCCAGGCAAACCCAUAUUGUUGAAGUAGAACAGU
rnacentral:lncRNA from 1 species